GUUGGUGAGGCAAUAGCUUACCAAGGCGAUGAUCAGUAGCUGGUCCGAGAGGAUGAUCAGCCACACUGGGACUGAGACACGGCCCAGACUCCUACGGGAGGCAGCAGUGGGGAAUCUUAGACAAUGGGCGCAAGCCUGAUCUAGCCAUGCCGCGUGUGUGAUGAAGGCCCUAGGGUCGUAAAGCACUUUCGCCAGGGAUGAUAAUGACAGUACCUGGUAAAGAAACCCCGGCUAACUCCGUGCCAGCAGCCGCGGUAAUACGGAGGGGGUUAGCGUUGUUCGGAAUUACUGGGCGUAAAGCGCACGUAGGCGGACUUUUAAGUCAGAUGUGAAAUCCCGAGGCUCAACCUCGGAACUGCAUUUGAAACUGGGAGUCUAGAGAUCAGGAGAGGUUAGUGGAAUACCGAGUGUAGAGGUGAAAUUCGUAGAUAUUCGGAGGAACACCAGUGGCGAAGGCGGCUCACUGGCUCGAUACUGACGCUGAGGUACGAAAGUGUGGGGAGCAAACAGGAUUAGAUACCCUGGUAGUCCACACCGUAAACGAUG
rnacentral:rRNA from 13 species